UUCUUUUUCUCUCUCUUCCCAAAUAGGCCAUGUGGCCAUUUCUUUCUCUCUCUCUCUCCUCAUUCCAUUUCUUUUUUCCACCAAUAACGUAAGAAAAAGAAAGCAACCAUAAACAUUCUUCCUCAUGAUUUCUAGCUUAAGUUCUGAUCGCAAUUUUAUUUCAAAUAACUGAGUCCUCACUAUACUUUCUUCACGUCAAUACCAAUUUUAUUAAAGGCAUGGAACCAUAAUCUAGAUCAUUAAGGAGUUGGAAUCAUAAUCCUCAAGCUCUUAGGAUCUGUUGGUGAAAUUGAACUCUAAAGUGGGAUCAAAAGCUUGGAUCAGAUUUGAGGUAGGGAAUUGUAUGAUCAUUUAUGCCACUUUGUCUUAAAACCCUAGGCUAGCCAUUUUGCAAAUUGAUAGAAUUAUAUUGUUUGUAAGUGUCGAUUUUGUUGAUGACUACGUGCGUGUUUGGGGAAUAAUGAAAAUGGAUAGUUGAAUGUGAAACUUUCAUGCUAAUGAGUUUGGAAGUCACUUGAAUGAUUAUGGAAAUUUUCCUUUUAA